rnacentral:tRNA from 1 species
CCCCCGGUAGUCCAAUCGGCAGAGACAAAUGACUUAAGAUCAUUUCAGUGCGAGUUCGAAUCUCGCCCGGGGGACCA